rnacentral:rRNA from 1 species
UGGGGAAUAUUGCACAAUGGGCGCAAGCCUGAUGCAGCGACGCCGCGUGAGGGAUGACGGCCUUCGGGUUGUAAACCUCUUUCAGCUCCGACGAAGCGCAAGUGACGGUAGGAGCAGAAGAAGCACCGGCCAACUACGUGCCAGCAGCCGCGGUAAUACGUAGGGUGCAAGCGUUGUCCGGAAUUACUGGGCGUAAAGAGCUCGUAGGCGGUUUGUCGCGUCGUCUGUGAAAUUCUGCAGCUUAACUGCAGGCGUGCAGGCGAUACGGGCAGACUUGAGUACUACAGGGGAGACUGGAAUUCCUGGUGUAGCGGUGAAAUGCGCAGAUAUCAGGAGGGACACCGGUGGCGAAGGCGGGGCUCUGGGUAGUAACUGACGCUGAGGAGCGAAAGCGUGGGUAGCGAACAGG